rnacentral:rRNA from 1 species
UACGUAGGGUGCGAGCGUUGUCCGGAAUUAUUGGGCGUAAAGAGCUCGUAGGCGGUGUGUCACGUCGGCCGUGAAAACCUGCAGCUUAACUGUGGGCGUGCGGUCGAUACGGGCAUCACUGGAGUUCGGCAGGGGAGACUGGAAUUCCUGGUGUAGCGGUGAAAUGCGUAGAUAUCGGAAGGAACAUCAGUGGCGAAAGCGACUUCCUGGACCAGUACCGACGUUCAGGCACGAAAGCGUGGGGAGCAAACAGG